CAAAAGUUAACCGAAGCUACAGCAAAGUAGAGAAAAUAUUUCGUGCUGCUUGUAUUACUCCCAAGUACUUUUAAAUCCGAAAUUAGUUUUUCUUGUUUGUGACUUGGCUGGUAUUGCUUGCGCUGAAAUUUUGUCAUUAUUUAAUUACGGAUAUGAAACUUGAUAGCGGAAGUUAUUACAUAUAUAUUUAUUUUGUUUCUUUUCUUAUAACGUAUUAAUAUUUGCAGUCAUUUACUAACGACUCACCUGCAGCAAACAUCACAUUAAGUAGUAGCUUAAGUAAUAGUGCCAUUAGAGAAAGAAUUAUUAAUGGUGAAUUAAAAAUUUCUAAAGCUACUGGGAAAAGCAAAGUUUGGAAUGUAUUUGGAAUAGUAGUAAAUGAAAUUAAUGAACAAAACGUGUUUCAAUAUAUUUAAGCACUGCAAAAAAUCCACCUCAAACUUAUUGAAGCACAAGUGCUUUAUAAAAUACUCAUUGGCCAAUAAUUGCGAAAGUAUCAAUAAAGUAGAAAUAAGUGCAGAACGCAAAAAGCAAGCGUUGGAAAUUAUAACUGUAAGAGCCGACCAAACUAUAUGGAUAUGUAUUAACAACCGACCUUUGGACAGACAAUUUUUUAAGGAAAACGUAUUUUGGCGUUUACAGUUCAUUACAUUAUAAAUGGGAAUAUUGUAAACCAUCUUCUGGGCUUACGGUCUAUAAGCGUUGAAAAAAAUACAAUGUCUACAGAAAUACGAAAGCGCCGGCGAGAAAAGGAGGUGAAAAAAUGGACGAAAUCAAAACCGUGCUGUAAUAUAUGCAGGAUCACCGAAACGUCGACAAACCAGCAGCGAAAAUCUACUACAGUAAGUUGCUUGCAGUGACAAAAAUUGAAGCAAAUUGGAACAUCUUAAAAUGUAACAUUCGCUAUUUAAAAAGCUAAAUGAAAUCGGCUGAAUACUGGCUAAAUUCCAAGGGCGCUGGAGUAGAGGAUAGCGAUGUGGAGCUGACUGUGAUGGAUAAAGUGCUUAAAAGUUGUCCGCAUUACAAGCAAGUAGCGGUUAUUUUUUCUACGGAGGGGCGCAGGAAGAAAAUGACUUAACUGAAUUGGCAUCUGGCUCAUCUGCGGGCAGCGCGUUUGGAAAAAUUAAGGCCAAACACCAAAACACUGCCAUUGAUAAACUGGCAAUAUUAGAAGCUGAAAGAAUGAGCUUUCGAGAAAAAUAGCUUCAAUUUGAAAUAGAAAAAUUCAAUUGGAUGAAGCACGUUGAAGCAAACAAACAUGAAAAUGAAAAGAAGAAGAUCGAAAACGAUUACCAACUCAAAAAAAGGAGUUGGAGCAGAAUGAAAGAAUAAGGAAAUUAAAAAUUGAAAUGAAGUAUAAAAAUAA